GCAUAUCAAAAAGCGGAGGAAAAGAAACCAACAGGGAUUGCCUUAGUAACGGCGAGUGAAGCGGCAAAAGCUCAAAUUUGAAAUCUGGCACCUUCGGUGUCCGAGUUGUAAUUUGAAGAAGGUAACUUUGGAGUCAGCUCUUGUCUAUGUUCCUUGGAACAGGACGUCACAGAGGGUGAGAAUCCCGUGCGAUGAGAUGUCUGAUUCUAUGUAAAGUGCUUUCGAAGAGUCGAGUUGUUUGGGAAUGCAGCUCUAAGUGGGUGGUAAAUUCCAUCUAAAGCUAAAUAUUGGCGAGAGACCGAUAGCGAACAAGUACAGUGAUGGAAAGAUGAAAAGAACUUUGAAAAGAGAGUGAAAAAGUACGUGAAAUUGUUGAAAGGGAAGGGUUUGAGAUCAGACUUGGUAUUUUGUAUGUCUUGCUUUCGGGUGGGGCCUCUACAGUUUACUGGGCCAGCAUCGGUUUGGAUGGUAGGAUAAUGACAUUGGAAUGUGGCACCACUUCGGUGGUGUGUUAUAGACUUUGUUGAUACUGCCUGUCUAGACCGAGGACUGCGUCUUUGACUAGGAUGCUGGCAUAAUGAUCCUAAACCGCCCGUCUUGAAACACGGACCA
rnacentral:rRNA from 1 species